GUCGUUGCCAGGGCCACCAGGUGGAUAAGGCAGAUGAAGCAACUGAGGCUGAAGUGACAGUAAUGACACUAAGGAGAAUUUGUCAUUGAGCCGCUGCAGAAGACAAAGGCCAGAUACCACCUUGGAGAUCAACCCCACUCACCAUCAAUUCUACGAGAUAAGCUACAGCUCAGGAUUUGGGGAGGCCUGUUC
rnacentral:lncRNA from 1 species